AAGUUACUAGUAAAAAAUUACAUUGCUUUGUCAAAGCAAAAUUGCAGGUUAGACCCCUGCGUAUCUUA